AACGAACGCUGGCGGCGUGCUUAACACAUGCAAGUCGAACGCGAAAGGGAUUUCGGUCCUGAGUAGAGUGGCGCACGGGUGAGUAACGCGUAAGUUAUCUACCCCUCCAUCUGGAAUAACUCACCGAAAGGUGUGCUAAUACCGGAUACGUUGGAAACAAGAAAGGUGGCCUCUAUUUAUACGCUACCGUGGAGGGAUGAGCUUGCGUACCAUUAGCUAGUUGGUAGGGUAAUGGCCUACCAAGGCAACGAUGGUUAGCGGGUCUGAGAGGAUGAUCCGCCACACUGGAACUGGAACACGGACCAGACUCCUACGGGAGGCAGCAGUGAGGAAUAUUGCGCAAUGGGGGGAAACCCUGACGCAGCGACGCCGCGUGGAUGAUGAAGGCCUUUGGGUCGUAAAAUCCUGUCAGAUGGAAAGAAAUGUACAUGUGCUAAUAUCACUUGUAUUUGACGGUACCAUCAAAGGAAGCACCGGCUAACUCCGUGCCAGCAGCCGCGGUAAAGUCG
rnacentral:rRNA from 1 species